CGUACAGUCAAUAAAAACAGAUGCUUCAUUUCCUUUCUUUCUUUAAUGAGACCAGUAAUCAAUGAACUGAGUGGGUGCUCUGAACCACACAGGUGUUUUCACUCAUGUUGCCUAAUUAGACCUCUUCUUUGGACUGUUGAUUAACUACUUAUCAUCAUUCUGAUUGGUUGACAGUGUUUUGUAGGUAAUCAGGUAAUUCCCAGCAGCUCUGGUGUACUCCAACCUGAUGAGAUAUCCAAUCAACCAGAAGAAUCGAUAACGCCUGUGUGGCUCUCUCUCUCUGCACCCACCAUGGCCGAUCUGUGAAGGGUGCUCGUCCAGUCGUUCAGUUGUUGUUGAGGACCCACCAUGAUGCUGAGGAGGAGACGCAGAAGAAGAAAAAAACUGACCCUCAAAAAUGACCCCAAUCAACGAGACACACUCUCCUCUGUGGCUGUGUGUGUGUAUUUUGUGCGUCCAUGUAUAAGCUAUGACAAAUUGAUUCAGCAGUGCCCUCUGCGCUGCUUGUGGCUGGUUAUGAGAAGCGGGUAAUGAUGCUUGUGAGACAGAAUUAAGAUCAAUUCGAUGUAAUAAUGCAGGGAAAAUAACACAAAGGCUAUUGCGUGCUGGAUAAAAGCAGACUUAUUACUAAUGAAAAGGAGGGAAAGUCUGACAUGGUGGUGAUUAUCUGACUGUUUAAUGGUCUUUUACAUAAUUAGCUUCGAAGCUAGAUGCAAUAUUUAUCUCGACCUAAAGAGCAAAACAAACAAAACAAAACAAACACAAAUCCAGACAAUAAAAAAAAACUCAAUGCAGGAUCCAACUUGCUUGUUUCCAUAGCUUUCAACCACAUCUCAUGGCCUUCCUCUAGAGUUGCUCAGCUGUCAUGGUGAAUGACAAAAGUUAAACUCUAAUUUUAAAGUUAUAUUAUUUAAUUUGAUAGCAUAAAUUUCAAGUUGGGGCGGCGGCGGUGCAGUGGUUAGUACUUCCGCCUCACAGCAAGAGGGUUGCAUGUUCAAAUCUGGCUUGAAGCCCUUCAUGUUCUCCCCGAGUUAGCGUGGGUUUUCUCCGGGUACUCAGGUUUCCUCCCACAGUCUUAAGACAUGCAUGUUAAUUGUUGACUCUAAAUUGCUCGUAGGUAUGAAUGUGAGCCUGAAUGGUUGUCUGUCUCUAUGUGUCAGCCCUGUGAUAGUCUGGCGACC